GGGAGCAAGCGUUGUUCGGAUUUACUGGGCGUAAAGGGCGCGUAGGCGGCCUACUAAGUCGGACGUGAAAUCCCUCGGCUCAACCGAGGAACUGCGUCCGAUACUGGCAGGCUGGAAUCCGGGAGAGGGAUGUGGAAUUCCAGGUGUAGCGGUGAAAUGCGUAGAUAUCUGGAGGAACACCGGUGGCGAAGGCGGCAUCCUGGACCGGUAUUGACGCUGAGGCGCGAAAGCCAGGGGAGCAAACGGG
rnacentral:rRNA from 1 species